UACAGAGGUCCCAAGCGUUGUUCGGAUUCACUGGGCGUAAAGGGUGCGUAGGCGGUCGGGUAAGUCUGAUGUGAAAUCUCACAGCUUAACUGUGAAACUGCAUUGGAUACUAUCCGGCUAGAGGAAUGGAGGGGAGACUGGAAUACUUGGUGUAGCAGUGAAAUGCGUAGAUAUCGUGAGGAACACCAGAGGCGAAGGCGGCCACCUGGACAAUUGCUGACGCUCAGGCACGAAAGCGUGGGGAGCAAAAGGG
rnacentral:rRNA from 1 species